GGAUGGUGGCUCAGCGGUAGAGCGCUUGCCUAGCAUGUGUGAGGCCCUGGGUUCGACCCUCAGCACCA
rnacentral:tRNA from 1 species